UACGGGGGGGGCAAGCGUUGUUCGGAAUUACUGGGCGUAAAGGGCUCGUAGGUGGCCAACUAAGUCAGACGUGAAAUCCCCAGGCUCAACUUGGGAACUGCGUCUGAUACUGGAUGGCUUGAAUUCGGGAGAGGGAUGCAGAAUUCCAGGUGUAGCGGUGAAAUGCGUAGAUAUCUGGAGGAAUACCGGUGGCGAAGGCGGCAUCCUGGACCGAGAUUGACACUGAUGAGCGAAAGCUAGGGGAGCAAACAGG
rnacentral:rRNA from 1 species